GUAGAACGCUGGCGGCAUGCCUAACACAUGCAAGUUGAACGAGAAGUUCUGGAACAAGUCUUCGGACAAGGGAAGGAACAGAAAGUAGCGAACGGGUGAGUAACGCGUGGGCAACCAACCUUACACAGGGGGAUAACGCAGAGAAAUUUGCGCUAAUACCGCAUAAGCGCACAGGAUCACAUGAUCCGGUGUGAAAAACUCCGGUGGUGUAAGACGGGCCCGCGUCUGAUUAGCUAGUUGGUGAGGUAAAGGCUCACCAAGGCGACGAUCAGUAGCCGACCUGAGAGGGUGAUCGGCCACAUUGGGACUGAGACACGGCCCAAACUCCUACGGGAGGCAGCAGUGGGGGAUAUUGCACAAUGGAGGGAACUCUGAUGCAGCAAUGCCGCGUGAAGGAAGAAGGUUUUCGGAUUGUAAACUUCUAUCAGCAGGGAAGAAAAUGACGGUACCUGACUAAGAAGCCCCGGCU
rnacentral:rRNA from 1 species